rnacentral:rRNA from 1 species
UGGGGAAUAUUGGACAAUGGGCGCAAGCCUGAUCCAGCCAUGCCGCGUGUGUGAAGAAGGCCUUAUGGUUGUAAAGCACUUUAAGCAAGGAGGAGGCUACUUUAGUUAAUACCUAGAGAUAGUGGACGUUACUCGCAGAAUAAGCACCGGCUAACUCUGUGCCAGCAGCCGCGGUAAUACAGAGGGUGCAAGCGUUAAUCGGAAUUACUGGGCGUAAAGCGCGCGUAGGUGGUUCGUUAAGUUGAAUGUGAAAGCCCCGGGCUCAACCUGGGAACUGCAUCCAAAACUGGCGAGCUAGAGUAGGGCAGAGGGUGGUGGAAUUUCCUGUGUAGCGGUGAAAUGCGUAGAUAUAGGAAGGAACACCAGUGGCGAAGGCGACCACCUGGGCUCAUACUGACACUGAGGUGCGAAAGCGUGGGGAGCAAACAGG